CAAUUAUUGCGGAGUAUUUGAUGGUCCAUACCAAUCCCCAUUUUUCUUUUUAAUUAUCGCUACCAACCAUUGCCGCAUACUUUAAAUCUCUUGUUGAUACUUCUGCCUUUCUUAAACAUUACCAUUUGACUAUGUUCUCUUCACCUUAUUAAGUGUUCAAGGUCCCAUAGUAUUAAUGUAAUGAAAGAGUUGGCAAUGCAUGAAUAUGACGUGGAGGAGCCGAUAAGACUUUAUAUUCAUCCGCAGCUGGAGGAUUGGUACUUCCAAAGGUGUUUAAUUCCAAGAUGUGCACACUUUGCAAUUAGCACCUUAUCCAUAUGGACUAGCAUCAUGCAGUUUCAAACUUGAUUUCUGAUCUUGUGAACUACAAGUCUACAAUCCUCAUUGGCAGAAUGAGCUGAGAGUGCUGCAGAAUCAUCUUGCAUCUUGUUACUCUAUAGCUAUAUCCACAAACCAAUUUCUGAUCUUGUAAUCGAAUCACAUUGGACUUUGCUACUGGAUUGUGACUAUAACGGACUUUUGCUUAACUGUAACGACGUAGUUCUAUUUAUAUUCAUAGUGGACUACCAGCAAAAGCUUUCAUUGUGUUUCUUUCAUUUUACCUGUAAUGUUUAUAGUAGGCCGUGUUGAACCACUAAA